GCAGCGGUAGUUCAGUCGGUUAGAAUACCGGCCUGUCACGCCGGGGGUCGCGGGUUCGAGUCC
rnacentral:tRNA from 1 species